rnacentral:sRNA from 1 species
UGCGUGCCGUGGGCAGUUUGUGCCUGUGGGGGGCACCUGGGUGGAGAUGGAUGGGAACCUGCCCAGUGGAGAGGCCAUGGUGAGGCAGUUUCUGCAGGGCCAGAACUUCUUUCUGCAGGAGUUUGGGAAGAUGUGCUCCGAGUUCUGGCUGCCAGACACCUUUGGCUACUCAGCACAGCUCCCCCAGAUCAUGCACGGCUGUGGCAUCAGGCGCUUUCUCAGCCAGAAAUUGAGCUGGAAUUUGGUGAACUCUUUCCCACACCAUACAUUUUUCUGGGAGGGGCUGGAUGGCUCCCGUGUACUGGUCCACUUCCCACCUGGCGACUCCUAUGGGAUGCAGGGCAGCGUGGAGGAGGUGCUGAAGACCGUGGCCAACAACCGGGACAAGGGGCGGGCCAACCACAGUGCCUUCCUCUUUGGCUUUGGGGAUGGGGGUGGUGGCCCCACCCAGACCAUGCUGGACCGCCUGAAGCGCCUGAGCAAUACGGAUGGGCUGCCCAGGUCAGGCCGGGCCUUGGCUCUCCUUUAGCCCCACCCUGGGCCCUUGCCAUGAGCCCUGCCUUCCCUCAGACAUUGGGCCCAACCCCUCCUC